GAAUAUUUAUCUUAACUAUUUAUUAAACAAUAGUAUUAACGUAUCACUAUUAUGUCAGAUUUACCGUUUAUGAGUUGUAACAGUGAACAUUAAAACGAAGGCACAAGAAAAGGUAAUCAAUUUAAUAUAUGUGUUUAGAUAAUAAAUUAAUAACCCUUUCCUACUUCACUGAUCUCAUUUUCAAACUGUCACUACUUAUAAAUAGUAAAUCAAAUAUUUCAGUUAUAUGCAAACCAAAAUGUUUAUAAUUAGAUAUUUAAGACAAUAUAGAGUAAGAUUAAGCGUGCGAAAUAAAGCUUAAAUGAUUCCAUAACGAUUAAACAAACAAAAAUAAUAUUCACUAAAAAUCCUCCGAGAUAACCGCUAAUUCGUAGUAAAUGGCUUGCAGUGUAUAGAAAAUUACAUGAAUCAAAACGGAAUAUAUUAUAGUCAUUACUAAUGCUUUUUGGAAUAUUCGGAACUAAACAACCACGUAAUGUACAAAUAUAAUAUUAUUAUGUUCCUGGCCAAUUCGUUUGGGCAAUGUUUUAAAAAGUUACACAAUUUAUAAGAGAUUCAUGCGUGUUUCGGUUAAAUUUUAUAAGUAUGGCCACUGUAAACACAAUUUUUUCUGUUCUAACUUGUGACAAAUGUAACAAAUCAAAAUUAAAGGUUACAUUUUUUUUGUUUUGUUUUGUUACAUUUGGUCAUACAAAUACCUUACGUUCGUUCAUAACGGUUGCAAGAGAAACAUUUAUUUUACUUAAAAUUAAAUUGCAUAAACUUGUUAUUGUAACGUAUAGGCAUCUAACUUAGUUAAGCGAACGUAAAUUGCGGAAACUAUAAAAUAGUUAUAUAUAACUUGACAGUAAUUAUUUUAAUGUUGUAACGGGAACUUAAAAUGUUUGAGUAUAACCCUAUCCUAUUGAAAUUUGGGGUUACAGAUAUUUUAGUAACUUUACAAUAUUACAUAAUAAUAUUAUCUCGUAUGUUAUUACGACGGUGCAUGAACAUUGUGCCGAAUGGUUUGAAGACAAGUGAUAUAACAGUAUACAAAUUCGAUUACGUAGGGUUCUACUAUUUUCUGUGCGUUCAUAUUGACUACCGCAAUAAUAAUUAAAAUAAAAAGUAUCACCAUUCAAAUCUACGACUGAAAAAAUAUUUAAACAUAAAAGUAUUGCCCGGAAAUAGGUAAUCGUACGGCAGUAUGUUUUAACGAAAUUGUAGUAAAUACUAGAGGAAAAAUACAAAUUCGUAAUAUACCGUGACUUUCAUCCACAUGACGGACGUAGGGGCGAGGGAACAAUAAUUUAUAUAUUCAAAUAUUAUAAUUGGAAUGUCUAGUUAAAUAAUUUUUAGCGAAUUUUACAUUUUUUAAAGGGUACCUAAUGGGAUGUAAUGGUUAAUUUUUAAUUUCAAACUAUUCCCUGCGCAUAACUUUAGAAUAAAACUACACGUUCCGCUUCCGAUACAAAAUUGUUGCAAAUUAUUUUUUAUAAUUAAUA